AAAGUUUUUAAAAUUAAGCUUCUAACUUAAUAUAAGCAGUAAAUCUGUUAAACUUUU
rnacentral:tRNA from 1 species